GCACAAGCGGUGGAGCAUGUGGUUUAAUUCGACGCAACGCGAAGAACCUUACCUGGGCUCGAAAUGUUAUGGACCGGAGUGGAAACAUUCCUUCCCCGCAAGGGGCCGUAAUAUAGGUGCUGCAUGGCUGUCGUCAGCUCGUGUCGUGAGAUGUUGGGUUAAGUCCCGCAACGAGCGCAACCCUUAUCUUCAGUUGCUACCAUUUAGUUGAGCACUCUGACGAAACCGCCUCGGAUAACGGGGAGGAAGGUGGGGAUGACGUCAAGUCCUCAUGGCCUUUAUGUCCAGGGCUACACACGUGCUACAAUGGCCGGUACAAACCGUCGCAAACCCGUGAGGGGGAGCUAAUCGGAAAAAGCCGGCCUCAGUUCGGAUCGUAGUCUGCAACUCGACUACGUGAAGCUGGAAUCGCUAGUAAUCGCGGAUCAGAAUGCCGCGGUGAAUACGUUCCCGGGC
rnacentral:rRNA from 1 species